GAUUCUUGGAGAUGGAGAUACAGACGUGAAAUGUCCCUGUCUGAAUUGAAAGCAGGAAUGGGACUUGACUUUGGAAGUGCCUUAUCACCCCCGGAAUACCUAGGUUGGAGCCAAGAACCGGUAGCACUGUUGGACGCAUGCAGGAUGUUGGCAUCGUUCAGUUGCAUCACGACCAGUGCUGGCUGGAGCAGCCCACCACACAGAGAGUCAGCAGAAUAAGUCCAGCUAGAAGUUUUGGACUCGGCUCCAUUCUAAGGAACAUCAAUGCGACCAUAAAAAUAGACUUAGACUGCGUUGAGCCAAGACUCCUUUGGUGAAAAGCCUAACACUGGUGUCACUAACGCGGCAGAAGACGGAAGUGGGAGUCAUCUGUGGUUUUCAC